GGAAGAUGUCUGGAAUGGUAUUUCCUAAGUUUUGUCCUAGAAUGUUUAUAGUUUGAAAUCUUACAUUUAAGUCUUUAAUCCAUCUUGAGUUAAUUUUUGUAUGUGGUCAGAGA